GACGAACGCUGGCGGCGUGCUUAACACAUGCAAGUCGAACGAAGUGGCGAACGGGUGAGUAACGCGUAAUCAACCUGCCCUUCAGAGGGGGACAACAGUUGGAAACGACUGCUAAUACCGCAUACUGAAGGCGGGGCUUGCGUCUGAUUAGCUAGUUGGAGGGGUAAAGGCCCACCAAGGCGAUGAUCAGUAGCCGGGCUGAGAGGAUGAACGGCCAAAGUGGGACUGAGACACGGCCCAGACUCCCACGGGAGGCAGCAGUGGGGAAUCUUACGCAAUGGACGAAAGUCUGACGGGGCAACGCCGCGUGAGUGAUGACGGCCUUCGGGUUGUAAAGCUCUGUUAAUCGGGACGCGGUACCGGAAUAGAAAGCCACGGCUAACUACGUGCCAGCAGCCGCGGUAAUUC
rnacentral:rRNA from 1 species